AUUAGUUUAACAUGUAAAAUGUCCGUAAAGUAUCAUCAUAUGAUUGGCUUUAGGGCACAUUUCCAACAUACAGGACAAGACACAACCCUCCCACUAAAUUUGGCCAAGUCCAACAUUCCAGAAACUUUCAAAGAAGUAGUGUUUGUCCUUGAGUUCUUGUCGGAGCAAACAGGUAAGCCACCUACUCAAAUUUCAAUUUUGUUUUAUACUAAUAUGUUGUUAAUGAUUCAGGCAUCCACUCUAGAAUUUAAACCAUUAUCGGAUCAUUUCAAGUAUCACUUCCCAUUCAAAGAUCAAAUCCAUGCCGUGGGACCUAGGGGAGUUUAAAGAGAGGUAUCGUCCGGCUGGAAGACGUUAAAGCAAGCGCUUCUUGGGAGGCAACCCAUGCAAAUAAGGAAGACCUAGGAAGCUCCGGCAUCAUAAUCAGAUUUGCGUUCCUAAACCCUACUCUUUAUUGCUUUUACUUUGCCAUAUUUGCCAUGUUUGCUAAUUGUGUUAUUUGCUUGUUUUUGUGUGAGUCUAUGUUUGAAACAUUGAGGACAAUGUUUGGUUUCGUGUGGGGGGGGGGGUAAACAAAGUAUUUUUGUUGCAAAAUUCGUAGGAUUUUACCACCUAACAUUUCAAAGGUUUUUUUUCAUUGUUUUUAAGUGUUUUUAGUAUGUUUUGAUGUGUCUAUAUGUGGCUUUAAUAGGAAAUACCAAAAUUCAAAAAAAAAAAAAAUUCAAAAACGUUUUGAAAAAAAUCCAAAAAAAAAAAGUCGUUUUACAAUUGUUUUUGUGUGUUUGUGUCUUAGGGUACCUUCCAACACAAUGAUGAGGAUUUGGUUUUUAAUUGCAUGACUGUUAAAGAAAGUUACAAACAUGGAUGGAAGUUUGAUAUGCUCUUUGGUUUAUGCUUGGUUAUAGUUAUAGUUUACGAAUUCACAUGUAAUCACAAAGGAAAAAUCAGUUUUUGUAACAUGCUUGAAGGAAGGAACUCAAACUAACGCUACAACCCUGUGAGACUUGAGCCUAAACAUUCUUUGGAGAGUUAAUAAUCUGUGAAUUUGUUGUUUUCUAAAGUCGUUGCAUGAUCUUAUCAUUCUUUGCUUGGUUGCUACUUAGAAGGCGUUUCAUCAUUAUAGAUCCAAAUAUUAGAACUCAUACCCAUUUCAUUCAAAGCAUAAAAUUGAUUAGCAUAACAUAUAACAAGAUGAAGUUGUUUAGAAGUUACCACCAGAGCCAAAAAGCCUUCAUCCCAUGCAUUUGUUUUGUAGGUUUAACCCCUUUGAGCCUUAUUUAGCCUAUUUUCCUUGUUAGCCACAUUAUCCUUACCUAGCCUAGAUUAGGACUACCCAUACCCUUGUUCUUAAAGUAGUGGAGCAUGACUUAGAGGGAAUUCCUUUUGAUCAACAUAUUGCCGAAAACAAGUGUGGGGGAAGAGAUUUUUGUGUGUGUGUGUGUGUGUGCCAAAGUCUUAAAUGAGGCACGGGUAGAAAAGAAAAAGAAAAAAAAUUCGUGGAAAAUAGAAAGAAAAAAAGAAAAGUUGUAAAAAGAAUGAAGAAGAGUUGAAAAAUAUGUUUGAAAAGCUCUAAAGUGUUGGUUGUUGAAGAAAGGGUCCAAAAAACUUGAAUUUGACCCUAAGUGUUACAUGAACUUUCCCUUUGUGUUUAAAGUGGAUUUUUUGCAUUCAAAAGUGAAUUCUAAGUGUCAAAAUCAUUACUUUGCUCACUAUUUCUUUAAGAACGUUUGUUUACCCUUACCUUUCUUUGUAAGCCAAUACCCUUAGCCCCGUUACAACCCUGUGACUUCUAUCUUGGGUGUUAUGUGUUUCAAUAUGUGGAGUUUGGGAUUGGUAUGAGCAUAUGGUAUCCCUGGUUCUCGCGUCUAAGUAGUGGCAUUCCAUCCAUGAGAUCAUAUCUAAGCAUGCUUAAUAACUCCAGAAAAUGCUUUCUUUGUUAUACAUAUAUGUGAGUGUUUGUCUACAUGUUUACAUCAAUCUUCUCACAUAUAACUGUGUAGGGUGUGUAGUCAGAAAAUCUGAGUGAAAAUUGAGUGCCUAUCCAGUAAGGAAUUGAGGGAAUUCUCUAAGGCAUGUUACUACAUUCAAAAUGUUGUUUUAAUUGAUUAAAUGUGAGCUAGUGAAUGGUGACUAUGAUUAAGUAUGAGCUCAAGGGUAAGGAUAACUAAAAUUUAUGUAAGUAGUGAUUUUUAAUGUGUCAUGUUUCAUUGGAAAUCCCUGAGACAAAUGUUGGAAGGUUUAGGUUCUGUUUUGCUUGUUUUGUUUCCUUUGUUUUGCUCGAGGACUAGCAAAAACUAAGUGUGGGGGAAUUUGAUAGGAGCAUAUUUAUGCGACUUAGUUAGCUUGUUUUCUUGCAUUUUCAUAGUUUGUUUGUGUUUAUUAUAGUGUUUUAAGCUAUUUUCGUGUGUUUGUAGGUCCAUAUGACCAAGUUGGCAAGAAAGUGCAAUUUAGAGCAUUUUGAGGCAGUUUUGGGCACCAAAUGGAUAGCUUAUGAAUGGAACAAGAUGGAUGGACGAAUUUGAAGUUCAAGAAGCUAGGAAUGUGCUGAAAAGAGUGAAGAAAUAAAUCCAAGUCAAGGAAGAUAAGAAAUCAGCUCUAAAGAAGGAACAUUAUCCAAAAUCUUAUCCAACCUUAUCUUAUCUUAUCCUAUCCUAAUCCUAUCCUAACUUAAUUCCAGUUGCAAAGGGGAUUUAUUUUCAGAUUAAAACACAUUAAAA
rnacentral:lncRNA from 1 species